rnacentral:misc_RNA from 1 species
CAUGUUUGAAUUAGCUGCUCUCCCUUUAAAACGGGGCCAGUUAUUCUUCUACCCAUGCCUUUUUGCGUACUGCUUGUUUCCUCGGUAGCCUCGCCUACCGAUAGGACAACUUAAAAACCCUUUUUUUGUAAUUGCAAUCAGCGUCAAAAGAUAACUUAAUAGUUA